UGGAGUCUUCAGGCUGGGAGAUAUUCACAGCCCCACUCGGUGCCAGGGGCUGGACUGUGUGAUUUCUCUUCCAACCCCACCCCGGGGUGACUCGGUGGCUUGGCCAUUCUCUCCCUCUGCCAGGGUAGCCACGCUGGCGUCCGAGCCUCAGAAAGGAACAGCGCCCCAGAGCGAGGGGAGACUGAACCCUCUUCGGUCCUUUUCAUUAAGCCCCGGGCUCCAAAUCCCGCAGCCUUCCCCGACGCGGGGCAUCAUCCCGGCGGCGGCUGCAGGGCCCGCACCUCACACCCGCCAGCAGCGGCCCCGCUGCCCUACACGCACUGCAAAGCCUCCCCUGCCGCCUCUAUGGGAGCUGCGGAAGCCAGUGGGGCUGUGUAGGGCUCGCAGUCUGUCGGGGAGCCGGGAAUGGCGGUGAAGCACAUACAGGAGGGGAGGGCAGGGCAGGGGAGCGGCAGGAAAAGCAGACGACUCUUGUAGGACCAUCACAGCAGUGUUCCAGAUUUCUGAGGAAGUGAAAUGGAGUUGCACUUAGAAGCAAUAUGGUUUUGACACAUCAGAGAGCAUCAGUGUAAUUGCAAACAGCACUUCUGUUUUUGUUGUCUCUUUAAACUGCUAAGAUGGUAUUGACUACAACAGAUUGAAAGACUUCAAAUGAAGCAAGCAUAGUCAGUUAUCUGCACAAUGAUUAUUGUAUGAGUGGGUAGUCAUGUAGAUAGCACAUGUGCAGGUCCAUCUCUGAUUUUUGUAGCAAAAGCUCACAACAGAAGGCUUAUCCACCGUAAGAACACAAGGCCCUGUAAGUGUUGUGCUGGGUGAAGGUCACUAACAUCAAUUAUAUACUCCUCACAUUUUACAUAUGUUAAGAAAAAAAAUUUAAAAGUUGUUCUGAAAGAGCUAGAAAUUGUUGUUUGCUCUAUUGUAUAAUCUCUUAUUGAAAACAUUACCAAUGCCAGAGGAAUAGCAAGACACAAAUACUACAUCAGUCUCUAAAACAAGCUCUUUGAUUCCUGAGUACUUUAAGGUAGCUAAUCUAAUUUUCUGUAAGGUAGACUGAUAGAAACAGUAAUAAGGAAAGAAUUAGGAGAUAGCUAUGAAAACUUACAGAAAAGUAAACAUGGGGUUUGUAUUGGAAGAUUAGGCCUAACAACUCUACUAGAAGGAUACGGUAAAUGUGGAGAAUAUAGAUCAUACCCUAUUCAGAGAGUCCUAAAUCACCUGGAAGAAAGAGGUCAUGAUGGUUUUUUGAUUACUCACAUGUAUUUGUGGUCGCCAAAACUAGAGCUUGAGUAUAAAUACCUGCAGAAGAUUUUUCCACUGCUAAGCUAUGACAUAAUAAAAUGGAAACUAAAUUUAGUGCUAUGAAAGUUAAACUAAACUACAAGUUCAGUGACAGCUAAAAUUAGCAACAUUAGCUUUGAAAUGUAUUUCUCUCUCACACAUGUAUCCACUAGAGUGAUUCCUUUAAAGUGUUUCUUUACUGUCUAAAAUACUCAGCUAACUUUUCUUUGUCAGGAAUUCUGACAGUUAAUAGCAAUGUUUUAUUUUGUCUUGGAAAAGAAAAUUUAUGUUUUCAUAAGACAUUGCCAAAUGUAUUCUAUUGCAGAAAAUACUCAUUCAAGUUCCAUGCUUACUUAUAUAAUGGUUUUCCAGCAUUUGAAAGCAAGCCCUAAAUAUGUACUUGUUUAUUUGUAUGGAAUCAUUCAUGGAGAUAGAUUUUACUGACUAGCAAAAAGACACUUUCUGUAACACUAAAAGCCUAUGUACUUCAUCUGGGAUGACUUUCAGCUCUGUUUUCUGUCUUGAGGACUUCCAUACUGGUGCUUUAGUGAGAAUUCAGAACAUGAGUAGAAAUCCAUAUGUUUGGUAUUCUGAAGAUGUUGAGUGUUUCACUUGAUCUAGUGCUCACGAUGGGGCAGUUGGAACUAGAUGAUCUUUAAAGUUCCUUCAAGUCCAAACUGCUUUAUGGUUCUAUGAUUCCACGUAUACUUUUCCAUUGAUUCAGAUACUUAGACAGUAUGUAGGGCUAUGGCAACUUGCUUGUAUUCAAAUACAUAUUUAUAUAACACAAGUGAUUAAUAGAUUCCAAGGUCAGAAAACAGCAUGAUAAUUGCCUUCUUUAAUCAGAGACCAGAGUGUAUGACUUAGAUCUGAGUCAAUUCAUGUAAAGCUAUUCUUCUCCUAUAUCUUUUGAUUAUUUUACAGAGAUUACAUGUUUUUCCACUACCAUCAACAACAGAAACCCAUUAAACUGUCUCCCUGCUUUGUUCUUGUAACAUCCGCUUUGUUUCAGAAAUAUGCUCUUAUUUCCUGCAAGAUUUCCUUCAUGGGCCUGUUAUUCCUUCUCGCUUAGAUUAAAAAUAUCCUUUAAUCUUGCUUUGUGACUAAGCAAUGAAUUUCCAGCACUGUGUUUAUCUGUGGAGCAUGCUGGAAAUACUUUGUCCCUCAAAUCUUAGGAUGCUUGGAAUGCCAUUUACUUAACCUAUAAAGACCUAGGAUAGGGCAGCUAAUAAUGCUUUUCAAGAUAGCAGCCUUCCAACCACCAUCCAUUCAGCCACCCUAUCAAUUGUACAGAUAUGUGUGCCUUGUGGAUGUACUCAUAUUCAUUAAAAGGUGUCUUUUAAUCAGUUUAAAAUCAAAAAUUUGAAGUUUACAACAAAUUAUACUUAAACUUCUUUUUUUUUUCAGCUUUAGCGAAACCAGUUUAAAUAUCAUUUUAAAAACUGGCAUAAGAGUACUACAUGUAAACGAGCCUGUAGUCAUGUACAGCUGCUUCCUGAGAAAUUUUUUGAAACUCGCUGCUGCUGAAAAUGUAGGCUGGGUUUAUUAUGCCUAAUGCAAACUGCAUUUGUAUGUGCUCCUGUGUAGGCUCUGCUCACUCUAGGAAAAUGCUCUAUGCUGCACAUCAUGCAGUAACUGGCAGGACUGGAGCCCUACAGAAAUAUGAUAGAUGAGGUGAAUUGGUGAAUUCAAGUCCAAUAAUUUGUGAGCAUCUAGCUGAUGUACUUUUUCUUUCCUUAAGAAAGUGUCUCAAGGGAAUUUGAUACAUCUUUUGUGAUGGAUUUUUCAUGGCAAAUAUCAGUCCCAACCAGUGAGUUAUUUUCUGUAUUUAAAUUGGUUUUGAAAUGGCAUAUAUUGCACUUACGCAGAUUUUGUCAGGGAAAUCCCAUUACAGUCUUAUAAAUUCAGCAAAGGUUUCAGUGAUUUUAUGUUGUGUGCAUAUCCCACAAUUUAUUCUUAAAACAAACAUUGUUAAAGACUGUGGUAACAAACUACGAUGACUUUUUCAUCAAUGAAUAACUUCUGGACAUAAAAAUA